GUGAGGAAUAUUGGUCAAUGGGCGAGAGCCUGAACCAGCCAAAUCGCGUGAAGGAUGAAGGUAUUAUGUAUUGUAAACUUCUUUUAUCGGGGAAUAAAGUGCACCACGUGUGGUGUUUUGUAUGUACCCGAAGAAUAAGGAUCGGCUAACUCCGUGCCAGCAGCCGCGGUAAUACGGAGGAUCCAAGCGUUAUCCGGAUUUAUUGGGUUUAAAGGGUGCGUAGGCGGACUGUCAAGUCAGCGGUGAAAGUUCAUGGCUCAACCAUGGAAUUGCCGUUGAAACUGUCGGUCUUGAGUGUAGAUGAGGUAGGCGGAAUUCGUAGUGUAGCGGUGAAAUGCUUAGAUAUUACGAAGAACUCCAAUUGCGUAGGCAGCUUACCAGGCUACAACUGACGCUGAGGCACGAAGGUGCGGGGAUCAAACAGGAUUAGAAACCCCUGUAGUCC
rnacentral:rRNA from 1 species